rnacentral:rRNA from 1 species
UCGAGCGCACCCUUCGGGGCGAGCGGCGGACGGGUUAGUAACGCGUGGCGAACAUACCCUUUUCUAUGGAAUAGCCUUUGGAAACGAAGAGUAAUACCAUAUACGCCCUUCGGGGGAAAGAUUUAUCGGAGAAGGAUUGGCCCGCGUAAGAUUAGAUAGUUGGUGGGGUAAUGGCCUACCAAGUCUACGAUCUUUAGCUGGUUUUAGAGGAUGAUCAGCAACACUGGGACUGAGACACGGCCCAGACUCCUACGGGAGGCAGCAGUGGGGAAUCUUAGACAAUGGGCGCAAGCCUGAUCUAGCCAUGCCGCGUGUGUGAUGAAGGCCUUAGGGUCGUAAAGCACUUUCGCCAGAGAUGAUAAUGACAGUAUCUGGUAAAGAAACCCCGGCUAACUCCGUGCCAGCAGCCGCGGUAAUACGGAGGGGGUUAGCGUUGUUCGGAAUUACUGGGCGUAAAGCGUACGUAGGCGGAUCAGAAAGUAGGGGGUGAAAUCCCGAGGCUCAACCUCGGAACUGCCUCCUAAACUCCUGGUCUUGAGUUCGAGAGAGGUGAGUGGAAUUCCAAGUGUAGAGGUGAAAUUCGUAGAUAUUUUGGAGG